rnacentral:tRNA from 1 species
GCCCCGGUAGCUCAGCUCGGUAGAGCGCCCGCCUCGUAAGCGGGAGGUCCCGGGUUCAAAUCCCGGCCGGGGCUCCA